rnacentral:rRNA from 1 species
GAAGCUUGGUGCUUGCACUGGGUGGAUUAGUGGCGAACGGGUGAGUAACACGUGAGUAACCUGCCCUUUACUUCGGGAUAAGCUUGGGAAACUGGGUCUAAUACCGGAUAUUCUGCAUGGUCGGAUGGUUGUGUAGGAAAGAUUUUUUGGUAAGGGAUGGGCUCGCGGCCUAUCAGUUUGUUGGUGGGGUGAUGGCCUACCAAGACGACGACGGGUAGCCGGCCUGAGAGGGCGACCGGCCACACUGGGACUGAGACACGGCCCAGACUCCUACGGGAGGCAGCAGUGGGGAAUAUUGCACAAUGGGGGAAACCCUGAUGCAGCGACGCCGCGUGGGGGAUGACGGCCUUCGGGUUGUAAACCUCUUUCAGUAGGGAAGAAGCGAAAGUGACGGUACCUGCAGAAGAAGUACCGGCUAACUACGUGCCAGCAGCCGCGGUAAUACGUAGGGUACUAGCGUUGUCCGGAAUUAUUGGGCGUAAAGAGCUCGUAGGUGGUUUGUCGCGUCUGCUGUGGAAACGUGCCGCUUAACGGUGCGCGUGCAGUGGGUACGGGCGGACUAGAGUGCAGUAGGGGAGUCUGGAAUUCCUGGUGUAGCGGUGAAAUGCGCAGAUAUCAGGAGGAACACCGGUGGCGAAGGCGGGACUCUGGGCUGUUACUGACGCUGAGGAGCGAAAGCAUGGGGAGCGAACAGGAUUAGAUACCCUGGUAGUCCAUGCCGUAAACGUUGGGCACUAGGUGUGGGGUCCAUUCCACGGAUUCUGCGCCGUAGCUAACGCAUUAAGUGCCCCGCCUGGGGAGUACGGCCGCAAGGCUAAAACUCAAAGGAAUUGACGGGGGCCCGCACAAGCGGCGGAGCAUGCGGAUUAAUUCGAUGCAACGCGAAGAACCUUACCAAGGCUUGACAUGCACUAGACGAUUGCAGAGAUGUGGUUUUCUUUUUGCACUGGUGUACAGGGUGGUGCAUGGUUGUCGUCAGCUCGUGUCGUGAGAUGUUGGGUUAAGUCCCGCAACGAGCGCAACCCUCGUUCUAUGUUGCCAGCACGUUAUGGUGGGGACUCAGUGGAGACCGCCGGGGUCAACUCGGAGGAAGGUGGGGAUGACGUCAAGUCAUCAUGCCCCUUAUGUCCAGGGCUUCACGCAUGCUACAAUGGCUGGUACAGAGAGUGGCGAGCCUGUGAGGGUGAGCGAAUCUCGGAAAGC